rnacentral:piRNA from 1 species
UCAGGUUGUCCUAAAGUACUCAGUCCCUAU